rnacentral:rRNA from 1 species
UACAGGGGGUGCAAACGUUGCUCGGAAUCAUUGGGCGUAAAGCGCACGUAGGCGGUUCGUUAUGUCGGAUGUGAAAGCCCUUGGCUUAACCGAGGAAGUGCAUCCGAAACUGGCGAGCUAGAGUACUAAAGAGGAUCGCGGAAUUCCCGGUGUAGAGGUGAAAUUCGUAGAUAUCGGGAGGAACACCGGUGGCGAAGGCGGCGAUCUGGGUAGAUACUGACGCUCAUGCACGAAAGCGUGGGGAGCAAACAGG